CAGCCGCCGCGGGAAUACGAAGGGUGCAAGCGUUAAUCGGAAUUACUGGGCGUAAAGCGUGCGUAGGCGGUGAGUUAAGUCUGCUGUGAAAUCCCCGGGCUCAACCUGGGAAUGGCAGUGGAUACUGGCUCGCUAGAGUGUGUCAGAGGAUGGUGGAAUUCCCGGUGUAGCGGUGAAAUGCGUAGAGAUCGGGAGGAACAUCAGUGGCGAAGGCGGCCAUCUGGGACAACACUGACGCUGAGGCACGAAAGCGUGGGGAGCAAACAGGAUUAGAGACCCGCGUAGUCCCUGUCUCUUAUAC
rnacentral:rRNA from 1 species